UCUAAAAGGGUUUCAGAGAUCUCCAGGAUUUUCUAAAUCAAACUUGGAGAACCACUGGGAUAGAGGCUAAGAAUAAAAAUACAAGUGUCCUUGAGGAGCGGCCACUCUACUAGAAAUGGAUCAACUACAUAGCUAAGGAAGUCAGCAAAGAAUUCUCCUGCAGUGGCUGCCUCUGUUCCUUGGAAAGCAGCCAGCACAUUAAUUUACCAAAGCAGUUCAUGGACCCAACGGAUCCUCCCUGCCAAUGACACUUGGUGGACUGGCUCUUCCCUUGGAGGCCUCAAGUUUCUGGGUCUGUCAAAUGUCGGGAUUGAGCGUGCUGGGGUCUGUGGACUUGUUUUUUAAAUUCCUCUGAUAACUGUGUUCCAAUAGAAUUCGUUUCCUAUGAAAUGCUAUGGAUUUCAUUUUAGUUAACAAUGAGAGUCGGAGAAGGAGACCCUGACUGUCCAAAGGGUCCGGGACCCCAAGAAGAUUCAGAACCUCAGCUCUCUGAGGCCCUUUCCAAUUUGAAAUUCUAGUUCUAACACCAGCCCAGAAUCAAGCUUCAUGGUUCCUGGGAGCCAUGACAGCAGGUCCUGAAUGGGGCUGGUCCCCUUCAUGCUGAAGAGGGUCUGAAGCAUCUGGAACUCUCCUGGAGGCCGGCACAGAACCCUGGCUGUCCAUCGGCUGUCCCCCGAGUGGCCUAGCUCAUUUUCUGACCAUACCCAUCCCAGCCCAUUGGACCCAAGUCACUAUGAACAUGAGUCACAAACACUUAACGCUUACUAGCUGCGGGACUCUGGACAAGUCAUUUAAUUUCUGCCUCAGUUUCCUCAUCUGUAAAAUGGAGAUAAUAAUAGCACCUACCUCCCCUAGGACUGUUGUAAAAAUCACAUGAGGUUUUAUAAAUAAAUAUAUAUAUGUGUG